AUUGAACGCUGGCGGCAUGCCUUACACAUGCAAGUCGAACGGCAGCACGGACUUCGGUCUGGUGGCGAGUGGCGAACGGGUGAGUAAUGUAUCGGAACGUGCCUAGUAGUGGGGGAUAACUAGUCGAAAGAUUAGCUAAUACCGCAUACGACCUACGGGUGAAAGUGGGGGAUCGCAAGACCUCAUGCUAUUAGAGCGGCCGAUAUCAGAUUAGCUAGUUGGUGGGGUAAAGGCCCACCAAGGCAACGAUCUGUAGCUGGUCUGAGAGGACGACCAGCCACACUGGGACUGAGACACGGCCCAGACUCCUACGGGAGGCAGCAGUGGGGAAUUUUGGACAAUGGGGGCAACCCUGAUCCAGCAAUGCCGCGUGUGUGAAGAAGGCCUUCGGGUUGUAAAGCACUUUUGUCAGAGAAGAAAACUGUUGCGCUAAUAUCGCGACGGGAUGACGGUAUCUGAAGAAUAAGGACCGGCUAACUACGUGCCAGCCGCCGCCGUAA
rnacentral:rRNA from 1 species